GGAGAGAGAAGGGGAAGAAAGGAGGAGGUGGGGAGGAGGUGGAAGUGGAGAAAAGGAGCAGGAAUAAAGAGAGGGAGGAGACAGAGGAAGGAAAGAGGAAGGGAAGGGAGGUGGGUGGGGAAGGGAAAAGGGGAGGAAGGAAGAACAAAAAAACGGUGGAGGAGGGGGGAGGAGGGGAGGGAGGAGACAGAAGGAGGAAGAAGGAGGGGGAGGGAGGACAGGGAGGAGCCGGCCACAGUGUCUCUGUGAGAACACAGUGGAAGAACUCAAUGGCCCAACCCGAGCAGAGGGUGGCUGGCAACACCACCUUGUACCUGGGCCACCAAGCAGCAUUCUUCACAACAGCCAAAGAGGGGAAUCCACCCACAUGUCCAUAAACUGACAAAUGGACAUACAAAAUGUGGCAGAUCCAUACUAUGGAAUAUUACUCAGUCAUAAAAAAAGGAAUGAAGAACUGAUUCCUGACGUAACUCGGAUGAACCUUGAAAACAUUAUGCCCAGUGAAAGAAGCCAGCCAAAAAAGGCCACGUAUUGUCUGACUGCAUUUAUCCAGAACAGAGCUGAUUUCGACUCACAGCAACCCCGUGUGAUGGAGUGGAGCUGCCCCAUAGCGUUUCCUUGGCUGAAAUCUUUACGGGAGCAGAUCGCCAGGUCUUUCUCCUGUGCAGUUGCUAGUGCUGCUAUUUUGAUAACCCAUCUUGCUCACUGACUGAUGUAAGAGGACAGUCUUUGUUCGUCAAACCUGGAAGAUCCCCAGAGGCAUGGAAUGGGAAGUCCAAGAGCCCUGGGUCUGACCAGUCUGGCUUCAAAUCCCAGCUCUGCUAUUUCCUGACCCUGAGUAACUGGCCUCACCUCCCAGGGGCCUCAGUCCUGGGGUUAAGGAAGGAUCUGAUCAUUGCUUAAACCCAUUGUUGUCGAGUCGAUUCUGAUUCAUAGCGACCCUAUAGGACAGAGUAGAACUGCCCCAUAGUGUUUCCAAGGAGCAGCUGAUGGAUUUGAACCGCUGACCUUUCAGUUAGCAGCUGAAAGCUUUACCACUGUUGCCACCAGGGCUCCAAUCAUUGCCUAGAUAACACUAAAAAAAAAAAAAAAUUGCCGUAGAGUGGAUUCCAAUUCAUGGUAACCCCAUGUAUGUCACAGAAAAACUGCUCCACGGUUUUCAAUCGUUGAUUUUUCAAAGUAGAUCACUGGGCUGUCUUCCAAGGCACUUCUAGGCAAACUCGAACUUCCAAUCUUUCAGUUAGCAGUCCAGCAUGUUAACUGUUUGUACCACCCAAUAACUCAUUGUUCUGUUUUAUUCUUUUUUGGUUAGUUGCCAUUGAGUGGACUCUGACUCAUGGUGACCCCAUAUGUGCAGAGUAGAACUGCUCCAUGGGGUUUUCAAGACUGUGGCCUUUAAGAAGCAGAUCACCAGGCUUUUUUCUUCUGAGGUACCUCUAGGUGGGUUCGAACUGCCAACCUUUUGGCAAGUAGUUGAGCACUUAACCAUUUGGGCAACCCAGGGACUCACUAGAAAACCAAACCAAACCCACUGCUGUCAAGUUGAUUCCGACUCAUGUGACCCCAUAGGUACUCACUAAACCAAAAUCAAAAACCAAACCCGUUGCCAUCGAGUUGAUUCUGACUCAUAGCAACCCUAGACGACAGAGUAGAACUAACUGCCCUGUAGGGUUUCCAAGGAGCGGCUGGUGAAUUCAAACUGCUGACUUUUUGGUUAGCAACUGAGCUCUUAACCACUGCACCACCAGGGCUCCGCUAGAGACUCACUAACUAGGGGCCCUAAAUUAACAAUAAAAACAACAAUAACAGCAGUUAACUUUACAAAGCCUUACUACAGUCCAGGAGGGUGUCAAGCUCUUUGCCACCAACACCUCACUGAAUUUACCCUUCAUGACACGCCUGGGGGGCAUAUUCUCCUGUUAUCUACCCCAGGUUAACAGAGGCCCAAAGUAACUUGCCUAAGGGAGGACAGGUCUGGGCUGGGCUCCAGCCCAAGUUUUUUUAACAUAGGCCUUAAACCUUGCCCAAAACUUGGGCCAAGACUGUCUCUGGGUCAGGUCGCCCCUCCCACCACCAUGACAGUCAAACAACCACUUCAGUUCCUGAAAUUUUAACCACAUACUCUUCACUCUGGUUGAAUCCUCACAAACAAGCUCCAUGUGGGAAGUACUACUAUUUUACCUCUCAGCUGUAAAGUGCACGCCAGCGUGUAUCACACUGAUGGGGAGUUCACACAUUUGCUCCCCAAACCAAUACAGUCGGCCCUCUGUAUCCACAGAUUCCGUAUCCACGGGUUCCGCAUCCACAGGUUCAACCAACCUGGGAUCGAAAAUAUUUGAGAAAAAAAAAAAGAGUUCCAAAAAGCAAAACUUGAAUUUGCCACGGGAGCGCCAAGUAUCAGCUGAAUCCACACGAAUGAAGUGAUGUGCAGGCACCCCCUGCUGUAGCCUCCCGCCAUUUCACAGAUCCUCUGUCUCGCUCCAGUACUCAUUGCUUACCUUGUGUCUCGUUCAUUCACUACUUGUGUUGUAGGCACCCUUUGUAUCUGUGAAAAAAUGGCUCCUAAAAAGCAAUUAAGUGGUCAAAGCAAUCCCUCAAAGGCUAAGUCUGAGGGGGUUGAGGAGAAGAAAGGGUGCCAGGCUAGUAGGGGAUGGCUGGCUGGCUCUGAAAAGCGCAACAGCCUCAAGAACUUCAAGGUCGUGGGGAAAUCCUCAUCGGCUGAUGCCCAAGGAGCAUCAUCAUUCCCAGAAGAGCUCAAGAAACUCAAAGAAAAGAAAGCAAGUCUUCAACUAUGAUGAAACAACUACUUACAUGGCACUUACACCAUCUGAGGUAUUACAAGUACUCUAGAGAUGAUUUAAGUACACAAGAAGAUAAUGCAUAGGGUACAUGUAAAUACUAUGCCAUUUUAUAUAAAAGACUUGCGCGUCCGUGGAUUUUGGUGUCCACAGGGGGUCCUGGAAACAAUCCCCCCCGCAGAUAAUGAGGGACAACUGUACAGUCCGCCCCUUUAUCCCACUCCCUACAGUUAUAGCAUCAGAUCUAGCCAGUUCUCAUACCACCUCGUAUGUGCCAGGCUACCUUUCAUCGCUUAAAAUAUCUGUUUGCCUCGUCGUUUUUGAUCCCUCUGAAAUCCUCACGUCCUUUAGAGAUCCAAAGCAGCUUCUGAGGCUGCUUUGGGUCUCGAGGACUGAGAGUUAAUAAGCAGCCGCGACUCGGGCUCAUUCCCACCAGUGUCGCCAGCAUCCAGGAUAAGCCUGGCACUGAGAGGACACUCAAUAAAUCCUGGCUGCUGUUUGCAAGGGGUGAGAAUGGUGAAGCCUUUCUGGAAUGCAAUUUGGCAGGGCCUCCCAAAAUCUAAAUGUGCUCUCCUUUGUCUUAGCAAUUCCACUUCCAGGAAUCUGACCGGCAGAAACACUCUUGCCCAAGCGACCAAAAACGUGGAUACGAAUAUGUCAAGUCAGGUCAUUCCCCAGCUCAAAAGCUUCCCAUGGUUCCCAUCUCACUCAGAAUCAAAACCAAAGUCCUAGUUAAAGAUGCACAAUGGAAACUCUAGAGCAACAAAGAGGUAGUGCCAAUAGGCCAAUGGUGGUGAUAAAAUGGAAUGCUAAAAUAAUUAACUUAAAGGAGGCAGGAAACGAGAAAAAAGAAACAAAGAACAUAGGAAAUAAAUAGGAAAUGCAACAAAUAGGAAGAUGGAAGAUUGAAAUCUGACCACACUGAUAAUUACAUUAAACGUAAAUGGUCUAAACCACAUGACUACUUUCACAUGACUGCUGAAAAUUUUAAAUGGAGUUGGUCCAAAUUGAGAUGUGCACUGACUGUAAAACACGCCCUGGAUUUUUAAGACACUGUGAAAAAAUAAAGAUUGUAAAAUAUCUCAUUAAUCACUUUUAUACUGAUUAUACGGUCGCAAUGAUAAUGUUUUGGAUAUAAUGAUUUACAUUAAAUAUAUUAAAAUUAAUUUCUUGUUUCUUUUUACUGUGGCUACUAGAAAAUUUAAAAUAACAUACGAUAAUGUGGUUCAAAUUAUAUUUAUAUUGAACAGCACUGGUCUAAACUCUCUAGUCAUAAGGUCAUACAUUGUCAGACUAUACUUAUCUACAAGGCUACAUACUAUCUACAAGAAACACACUUUCCAUAUAAACACACUUUAAAUAUAAAGACACAUACAUGGUAACAACAAAAAACUGGAACUAAGCCUAAAUAAAUAUCCAAAGUUUGGUAGGGAAAUACAAUAUUACACUCCUCAGCUGUUAAAAAAAUAAGAUUCUGAAGAAAAAAAAAAGAUUCUAAAAUAUAGAAUAGAGCCUCAAAUUCUUAGAAAUUCAGAUUUCUUGGACCAGUUGAGACUGGAAGCCUCCACAAAACUAUUGCCCUGAUAUACUCUUUAAACCCUGAACCGAAACUAGCCCCGGAGGUCACUUUUUAGCUAAAUAACAAAUUGGCUCAUAAAAUAAUGAAUAUCGCCCAUAAGUACUGCGCUCCUUUAAAAAUCACCUAUAGAGAUCAAACAGUCAACAAUUACUUCAGAACAAAGAUGAGAAGGGAAGGUAGUGGGGAAACUAGAUUCAGGGAAAUGGAACAACCAGAACGAAAAUAACGAGAACGUUCCCACAUUGUGAAGAAGGUAACCAGUGUCACUGAACAACCGGUGUAGAAAUUGUUGAAUGGGAACGUAAACUGCGGGGUAAAACUUUACCAAAAACACAGUAAAUCAUUAAAAAUAAUAAUAAUAAAGUUCUGGGUUACUGACAUGGAAACAAUUUUAAGACAUUUGUUAAAAAAGUAAGAUGUAGAAUUCAUACAGCAGGACUGUGUGGUCAAGAGGGGAAGAUGUAUACGAAAAAGGGGUGCUGAGUGAAUGUACCCCAAAAGCUCUUGGAGGUCACCUCUAGAGAGCAAAGGAAGAGGAUACUAAAAAGACGCUCCUCGUGGUACAGGUUACUUGACAUUUUUCUGUGCAGAGUAAUUAACACUCAAUUUGCACUUAAAUUGGCAAACCCAAAAACUAAGAGUUAAGGGAUCUUAUUUUAGCCUCAGGACUGAGAGGUCUCCUUUCACUUGCAAAAUGUUUAGAGCAACUUAGAAAGAGUCAGAAAACCAAUCUACUGCCCUUGCUACUCAAAGCAAGGUCCCCUGGUGGCAUCAGCCUCACCCGGGAACUUGUGAGAAAUGCCCAACUGAAACAGAAUCUGCAUUUUAGCAGGAUCCCCAAGGAAUUUAACAGGCUCCGUAAGGAGUGUGUGUGCACAUUGAAGUCUGACAAGCAGUGACGUACUGCACAGCCCAAUCUGUCUGCCCCAGCUGUUGCCACUAGCUGCCUCGUCAAAUCGGACUCAUGGUGACCCUGCACACAACAGGAUCCGGACCACUGUGACCCACAGGGUUUCCACUGCCUGAUCAUCAGAAAAAGAUCACCAGGUCUUUCUUCCUAGUCCAUCUUAGUCUGGAAGCUCCACUAAAACCUUUUCAGCAUCACAGCAACAUGCAAGCCUCCGCUGACAAAUAGGUGGUGGCUGCACACAAGGUGCUUCAGCCAGGAAUAGAACACGGGUCUCCCGUGUGGGAGGCAAGAAUUCUAGCACUGAACCACCGCUGCUCUCUGUCUGUUCUAGGAGAUGUGGACUAAAGACUGGUUAGUACUCUUCACAGCAAUAACAGCAACAAUGGUUAUAAUAACUGCAAUUAGCACUUAUAAAGUGUUAUUACCAACCAGUACCUGAGGAUACAUUAUCUCAAUUAAACUCCAUAACAAUUCCACCAUGUAGGUAUUUUAGGUCUAAGACCCUGACCUGCAAUUCUGAACUCCAAAACUCUCCGAAAACCAUACUCUUUCUUUCCUGACUCACUUGGGGGCAAGCGUGACCUGCACUGUCUGUCUUUAUUUAUCCGUCUUAGUGUCACAGCCACAGAACUAUUAGCCACAGAACUAUUAGCUGCAGAAAUACUAGCAUAUUUGACAAUGGGGAGCUGCCCCACCUUGCUAGAAUGUUCAGAUCAUAUGGUAUAGACACUGGUCUGAAAUAUUUUGAAUUUCUAAACACAAUAAUGGUAAGUGCCAUAAA